AGGGUUUGAUCCUGGCUCAGGAUGAACGCUGGCGGCGUGCUUAACACAUGCAAGUCGAACGAACCUUCGGGUUAGUGGCGGACGGGUGAGUAACGCGUGAGAAUCUGCCCUCAGGAGGGGGAUAACGGUUGGAAACGACCGCUAAUACCCCAUAUGCCUACUGGUGAAAUGAAUUUCGCCUGAGGAUGAGCUCGCGUCUGAUUAGCUAGUUGGUGAGGUAAUGGCUCACCAAGGCUUCGAUCAGUAGCUGGUCUGAGAGGAUGAUCAGCCACACUGGGACUGAGACACGGCCCAGACUCCUACGGGAGGCAGCAGUGGGGAAUUUUCCGCAAUGGGCGAAAGCCUGACGGAGCAACGCCGCGUGAGGGACGAAGGCCUCUGGGCUGUAAACCUCUUUUCUCAAGGAAGAAGAUAUGACGGUACUUGAGGAAUAAGCCACGGCUAAUUCCGUGCCAGCAGCCGCGGUAAUAC
rnacentral:rRNA from 1 species